CUGGAGCAAGGUUUGGCAUGGCUGUGGCCAGUGAUGGGGAGGUUAGCUUAAUCCCCUUUAGGAACAACGAUUGAAAUAAAGUUACCCCUGCAAAAGAGAUCAAAACGAGCUGGAUCAUCAACUUGAUACUGAGUUCUUUGGGCCAUUUCCUCCUUUCAAAAUGAACAGCAAGAGGAGAGGUGAUGAGGAAGGUGGCAAAAGUAGAAAAGAUAACAAUGGUAGAAGGGGUAAAGCCCAGAGACAUUAGAUAGCUCAAGAAAACAGAGUUUCCUGCAUACACAAAUUGCACCCCUAUCAAGCCUCCUACAA
rnacentral:misc_RNA from 1 species